GUAGGUGACCUGCGGAGGAUCAUUAAUGAAUUUUAUGGCGGAAUUGUAGCUGGCCCCAACCGGGCAUGUGCACAUUCUGUUCAUUCCAUUCUCAUACACCUCUGUGCACUUUACAUAGGUUUGGUAUAGAAAAGGUCUUUAUUGACUUUGGAAAUACUGACCUAUGCUUUUAUAAACGCUUCAGUUUUAGAAUGUCAUCCGCGUAUAACGCAAUAAAUACAACUUUCAGCAACGGAUCUCUUGGCUCUCGCAUCGAUGAAGAACGCAGCGAAAUGCGAUAAGUAAUGUGAAUUGCAGAAUUCAGUGAAUCAUCGAAUCUUUGAACGCAUCUUGCGCCCUUUGGUAUUCCGAAGGGCAUGCCUGUUUGAGUGUCAUGGUAUUCUCAAUACCCCAAAUCUUUGCGGAUAAGGGUGUGUUGGACUUGGAGGUUUUUGCAGGUAAUGAUUGUAUUACCAGCUCCUCUUAAAUGCAUUAGCAGAGAUAAUACUGCUACUCUCCAGUGUGAUAAUUGUCUACACUGUUAGUAGUGCGGUAUAACAAAAUGUCUAUGCUUCUAAUCGUCUUCGGACAACUUUUGACAAUCUGACCUCAAAUCAGGUAGGACUACCCGCUGAACUUAAGCAUAUC
rnacentral:rRNA from 1 species